CGAAGCCGAGCCCGAGAUCAGCUCGGCGGAGUCCUCGUCGGCAGCGCUGAGGGAGCAGAUCGAGAACCUGGAGUCGCUGUUGGGACUCAAACACGAAACAGCGGAAUCAUCCGGAGUCGGUGGCGGGGUACACGUUGGCCUCCCUAGCUUUGAUGAUUUGUACGGAUCGAUGUGAAAUGGACGGUCGAUGGGGGUUAUUUUUAAGUGGUAAUUUAAGUAUUAGUUGCCUAAAAUAACUGUGUUGUAGUAUAUAUUAAAAAUUUGGCACGUGCUGUAGGUGGAUUAUGUCGGUGGUAGUGGUUUUUCUUCUCUGUUGACGCGCUGCUUUUUGAAGUGCGGUUUCCGUGCGUGAACCGCUUCUAAUCAAUUAAUUAA